rnacentral:rRNA from 1 species
AUACGUAGGGGGCUAGCGUUAUCCGGAUUUACUGGGCGUAAAGGGUGCGUAGGUGGUUUCUUAAGUCAGGAGUGAAAGGCUACGGCUUAACCGUAGUAAGCUCUUGAAACUGGGAAGCUUGAGUGCAGGAGAGGUAAGUGGAAUUCCUAGUGUAGAGGUGAAAUUCGUAGAUACUAGGAGGAACACCAGUGGCGAAGGCGACUUACUGGACUGUAACUGACACUGAGGCACGAAAGCGUGGGUAGC